AACUCGGCCGGCUGGCGAGGCCACCCCGGACAGACUCCGGCCUCGCGGGCUGCAGAAGCGCGUCCCGGGGCUGCCCUCCUACUCCAUGGUUCGCGCCGGGGGGACCCAGGGCUGAGCUGGGGCUGGACCACGCCGAGUGGACCGAGCGAGCUGGGAGCGCGGACGAGUGUGGGUUCCCUCAGCCUGCAACCACGCGGCUGGUACUAAAGAGGACUUAAAAAUAUGUGAGUUCAUCCAGACUGGAGUGCGUGUCUUGUGUUAUUGCCAUCAAGUGUUUGGAGACAUGGAAAAGAAAGUUUAGGAGCCCCGAAGAGUCCAGCUAUCUAGGAAAGACACUCAAAUCGUGUUUUCUAGUGAAAACUCUCAAAAGACAACCUUAAGAAGAAAAUUUCAGUCUCUGAUACUCCUGUCUGAGAAGGACUUUGAUUGGAAAAAGCAGCAUCACCGGCAGAGGUGCAAGGAUCCUCCCAAGAAUGACAGAGCAAACCCCUUUAAUCCCCUACCAAGCAACAAUCCAUGGUUUCCAGAGCACUGGUAAAUAUUCCACCAAAUGCAGAGCUAGAAGGAACCAAUACCUAAUUCUGGAUUUUCCACAGAUGUGCAAGAUGAGAAAAUGUCACAUCUUCCAGAUGCCUUCAUUUUAUUAAGAAUACCAGUUUUGUACAUGUAUGAAGACUUGAAUUGGGUGUGAACAUACUUUGUGUACAGAGACAUGAAAAAUUGUGGUAUAUAUGUGUAUUAAGAAUUGUAAUG